UAACAUUCUAUCACUGUCAUCAGGAAUAAGAGAUAUGUAUGUGGGCCUUGCUGCGCAUAUGCAUGGUGUGCGCAUGUGGGUUGCCCAUAGGUGCGACAUCCUUGGGUCAUGGUCCAUCUUGGCCAUAAGGCCUUUAGGCCUUCUCGUGUUUUGCCUAAAACUUGGAUUUCCUUUUAAUUCUUCAAGCCCAUUAAUCUUACUUGGGCCUUAAGUUUCCUUUGGAAAAACUUGGUCUAUCUCUUG
rnacentral:lncRNA from 1 species